rnacentral:rRNA from 1 species
GAUGAACGCUGGCGGCGUGCCUAAUACAUGCAAGUCGAACGAAACUUCUUUAUCACCGAGUGCUUGCACUCACCGAUAAAGAGUUGAGUGGCGAACGGGUGAGUAACACGUGGGCAACCUGCCCAAAAGAGGGGGAUAACACUUGGAAACAGGUGCUAAUACCGCAUAACCAUAGUUACCGCAUGGUAACUAUGUAAAAGGUGGCUAUACUACCGCUUUUGGAUGGGCCCGCGGCGCAUUAGCUAGUUGGUAGGGUAAAGGCUUACCAAGGCAAUGAUGCGUAGCCGAAUUGAGAGGUUGAUCGGCCACAUUGGGACUGAGACACGGCCCAAACUCCUACGGGAGGCAGCAGUAGGGAAUCUUCCACAAUGGGCGAAAGCCUGAUGGAGCAACGCCGCGUGGGUGAAGAAGGUCUUCGGAUCGUAAAACCCUGUUGUUAGAGAAGAAAGUGCGUGAGAGUAACUGUUCACGUUUCGACGGUAUCUAACCAGAAAGCCACGGCUAACUACCUG